UUCAGACAGGACACAGAUUUUCCGAAGCCUUGCCAGGGCAAGCACUAGCCUAGCUGCCGUCGAAGCACUGUGACUCAUGGGCCCUCUGCUCGGCCUCAGGGAUAAAUUUGGUUACAGAUACCA